AUUGAACGCUGGCGGCAGGCCUAACACAUGCAAGUCGAACGAGUGGCGGACGGGUGAGUAAUGUCUUGGAAACUGCCCGAUGGAGGGGGAUAACUACUGGAAACGGUAGCUAAUACCGCAUACCAUCGGAUGUGCCCAGAUGGGAUUAGCUAGUAGGUGGGGUAACGGCUCACCUAGGCGACGAUCCCUAGCUGGUCGGAGAGGAUGACCAGCCAAACUGGAACUGAGAAACGGUCAAGAUUCCUACGGGAGGAAGCAGUGGGGAAGAUUGCACAAUGGGCGCAAGCCUGAUGCAGCCAUGCCGCGUGGAUGAAGAAGGCCUUCGGGUUGUAAAGUACUUUCAGCGAGGAGGCGUUACUCGAAGAAGAAGCACCGGCUAACUACGUGCCAGCAGCCGCGGUAAUAC
rnacentral:rRNA from 1 species